CCAAGGAGUAGACCGAGCAGUGUGAAUCAUCAUGUAAUAGCAAUCAUGGAGUGUGAUGUUGAGUCACGUAGAUGAAUUUAGUAUUUUUUAUGAUUGCUUUUCGAUUUGUAGAGUAGAUUUUUAAUUCGAUAUUUGCUUUGGAAGCAAGUCAAGUAACCCAUGAACCGUGGCUCCCAGGCUGAGGCUCAGUCAAUCUUGCUGCAGUCAGUGCAGUGUAGCUACUUAGUUUAUUAAGGUAGAUUUCUCAGCUGACUACCUGCCGUUUCUGAAAUUUGUCUAGUGGUCUAUUAUUUAAAACCAUAUUAUAGUAUCUGUAGCAUAAAUUAUCAAGGCUGUCUAUUAAACACAAUCAUUGAGUCAGACCAGCCAGGGCUGUGUUGGGGGGCAAAGGUGUUUGCUGCUCCAUCAUCCAGCAGCGUGCCACAGCCUCCAACAUUGUCUGCAUCACCAAAGACUUUACUCCUGGAUUGUAUACUGGAAUGCGGAAGUGCAGAGAGCUCGCAGCCACAUUCAAGUUCAAAGUUAUUGGGAGAAGAUGCUGCAUAUGAAGAUGCUCUAUAUGUAGGGUCCACUUCUUUCAAUUUGAUUGAAUCAUCUUCGGCAAGAGUUUUAAAUUCUAGUAUUGAUGAAUCAAGGCCAUCAAAACUUAAGAAAAAUUCAGGUUAUGUUGGCUUAGGAUUGCUCUACACAGAACUUUCACCAAUUAAAAAACCUAGUAACAGCAAAGUUCACCAAAAGGAGAGGGCUAUAACAAAGUAUCUCUUCAAAAGUCCUACCAAGUUGACUGAUGUCAAGGAAAAGGAUAAAAUUACAAAUCCAAGUGGGCGAACUCCCUGCUAUUCCUCAACUGCAAAGUUUUGUCUGAACUUGUCUUCAUUUGAUGCUGCAAAGAUGUUUUUUGUGUUUGACGUGGACAAAGCUACAUUUUACAAGAUGGAAGUUGGCCUGCAUGCCAAGAGCGUGAUGGAGCUACAGGCACGCCUACAGGACCACUACCACAUCAGUCCUGCCAACCAAAUCCUCAUUG
rnacentral:lncRNA from 1 species